rnacentral:rRNA from 1 species
CCGCGGUAAUACGUAGGGGGCGAGCGUUGUCCGGAAUCAUUGGGCGUAAAGGGCGCGUAGGCGGCNUUUUAAGUCAGAUGUGAAAUNCCACGGCUCAACCCUGGGACUGCAUUUGAAACUGUAGGGCUUGAGUGCAGGAGAGGAAAGUGGAAUUCCUGGUGUAGCGGUGAAAUGCGUAGAUAUCAGGAGGAACACCGGUGGCGAAGGCGACUUUCUGGCCUGUUACUGACGCUGAGGCGCGAAAGCUUGGGGAGCAAACAGGAUUAGAUACCCUGGUAGUCCACGCUGUAAACGAUGAGUGCUAGGUGUAGGGGGUUUAGACCCCUUCUGUGCCGCAGUUAACGCAUUAAGCACUCCGCCUGGGGAGUACGGUCGCAAGGCUG